AGCAAUGUGGCGUAGUGAUAAGGAGUAGGGCAAGUAACCCUAAGGUUGCUGGUUCAAUUCCCAGGUGGCCACUGCUG